GCUUUCAAAGGAUAGUAGUAAUCCAAUGGUUUUAGGAACCACAACCUCUCGGUGCAACUCCAAGUGAAAGUA
rnacentral:tRNA from 2 species